AUGGGAAGACAGCUGUUACAGGAUGGAGAGCGCCGCAGGCAGAGAGCUGGUCUCAGCAGACCAGAGCCUCAUCCACUGUUUCUGCCCUGGGAGACAACGGGGGCCUCAGAGCUGGAGGGGCUCAGAGCUGGGAGGCCACCUUCAGAUGCACCUGGACCCACAGGGCAGAUUCCUCACCUGAGAGAGAGAGAGAGAGAGGUUUGUGGUCUCUCUCCUUCCCCUGCAGAGCCCGGCAUGUGGGGUUACCUGUCUGUGCUGCCCGCUUUCCUGGCCUUUUCUGCUAUCACUGGAGUCUGGAGUGUUUUUGCCCUUGCCGUGACCAACAGGUCUGUGAACCUCACGGAAGGUUUCCCCUAUAUCAGCCUCUGCGGGUCUUACCCCCCUCAGAGCUGCAUCUUCAGCCAGCUGCUCAACAUGGGAGCUGCUAUGGGAGUGCGGGCAGGCUUGCCCGCCCACUUCCCUCUCCUCCCAGCCGCCUGGAUCUGCAUUAUCCGUUACCACCAGCUCCGGGACUGGGGAGUCAGAAAAUGGUUUAACCGGUUGAUCCUGUGGACGGGGCUCCUGUGUGCCCUGGGCACCUCCGUGGUGGGCAACUUCCAGCAAAAGAACCAGCUGCACAUGCACCUGGUCGGGGCCUUCUUCGCCUUAUUCAUGGGCAACUCCUACUUUUGGCUGCAGCUUAUUCUUGUCUGGUGCACGAGGAGACUGCCCCAGCCCGGGGCCCCCUGGGUCGGGCCACUCCGUCUGGGCCUCUGCAGCCUCUGCACCAUCCUCUUGGUGACCAUGAUGAUCCUCCACUUCUGGCCGCUGCGCUCGGCCUCCGCCGCCUGCGAGUGGGCCAUCGCCAUGCUGCUGUUUGCCCUCUUUGGCCUGUUUGCGGUGGACUUUUCCUGCCUGGACGGCUGCACCCUGCACAUCCAGCAGGGCCACCUCAGCUCCCCGCCAGCCUCCCCCACCUCCCUGCAGAUCCACCUGUGAACAGUAGGCCGGGUGAUGAGGUCUGGGCCCCCUCCCUCCGUGCUGCCAUCAGGGCCACCCAGGAAGUGAGAGGUCAAGGCCAGCCAGCCAUCCCUGCUCAAGGCUAUUUAUUAUUAUUAUUAUUAAUUUUUUUUUUUUUUUUUUUUUUUUUUUUUUUUUUUUUUUGCCGCCGGCGGAAUCAGAGACACGGACGCAGGCAGGGUCACGCGAAACCAGAAUUCCUUCCGGAGAGCAAAUCCGUACAGAAGGUCGCCCCUCCGGCCCACAGGAUAAAGGAGGGCCCCACGGCUUCGGACGCGGCCCACCUGCCAGGGCCUGCACGGAGGGCUGGUCGUGAGUGCUCAGCAGCUGCGCCUGGAUGGUCUCCACCACUCGCUUGAACCGACGGCUGGGACCUGGAGGGGAAGGAGAUGGGCUGACUUGGGGACAGAGACAGAAAAGGCCCUCCCACCCCGUGGAAACCAGAAAGGACUCGCUUCCUCUUGGGCUCAAUUUCCGGCCCUGUGUUGGGACUAGGUAUAGACCCGCGAUUUGCAAAUGGGAUGAGAAAGAUUGGAGUUAAAAUAAUGAUGGGUGUGGCUUUCUAUUUAUCGUGUUAGUUUCUAGCUGAGGCCACGAAGAGCCAGAAAUAUAAGAAAAAUAAACAGGAAGUUAAAA